rnacentral:rRNA from 1 species
CAGAGGGUGCGAGCGUUGUUCGGAAUUACUGGGCGUAAAGCGCGCGCAGGCGGUCCUUUAAGUCUACCCGUGAAAUGCCGGAGCUCAACUCCGUGCACGCCGGGGGAUACUGGAGGACUGGAGACGAGUAGGGGCAAGCGGAAUUCCGGGUGUAGCGGUGGAAUGCGUAGAGAUCCGGAAGAACACCGGAGGCGAAGGCGGCUUGCUGGGCUUGGUCUGACGCUGAGGCGCGAAAAGCGUGGGGAGCGAACAGGAUUAGAUACCCUGGUAGUCCACGCCGUAAACGAUGGGCACUAGACGCGGGUGGGAUCGACCCCUUCCGUGUCGCAGCUAACGCGCUAAAGUGCCCCGCUGGGGAUACGGCCGCAAGGCUG